rnacentral:rRNA from 1 species
UGAAUACGAGAUGCUACGGCGUCGAAGCAGUCUAUGUCAUACUUCCAAGAAAAGCUUGCACUGUCAUAAACAAAUAAUGCCUGUACCAUAACCGACACAGGUGGGUAGGUAGAGUAUACUAAGGGGCGCGAGAUAACUCUCUCUAAGGAACUCGGCAAAAUGACUCCGUAACUUCGGGAGAAGGAGUGCCUUAUUUAUAAGGUUGCCAUAACAAGAUCCAAGCAACUGUUUACCAAAAACACAGGUCUCCGCUAAGUCGUAAGACGAUGUAUGGGGGCUGACGCCUGCCCAGUGCCAGAAGGUUAAAGAAGUUGGUUAGCAUCCGCGAAGCUGAUAACUGAAGCCCUGGUGAACGGCGGCCGUAACGAUAACGGUCCUAAGGUAGCGAAAUUCCUUGUCGGGUAAGUUCCGACCCGCACGAAAGGCGUAAUGAUUUGGAUACUGUCUCGGAGAGGGGCUCGGUGAAAUAGACUUGUCUGUGAAGAUGCGGACUACCUGCACCAGGACAGAAAGACCCUAUGAAGCUUUACUGUAACCUGAAAUUGAAAUUGGACUUUACUUGCGCAGUAUAGGUGGGAGGCGUUGAGAAUAUUCUUGCGGGAUUAUUGGAGCCAUCAGUGAGAUACCACUCUUGUAAUGUUAGAUUUCUAACUUUGUAUCAUUAUCUGGUCAAAGAACAGUUUCAGGCGGGCAGUUUGACUGGGGCGGUCGCCUCCUAAACGGUAACGGAGGCGCACAAAGGUUUCCUCUGAACGGGUAGAAAUCGUAUCUAGAGUGUAAAGGCAUAAGGAAGCUUGACUGUGAGACCUACAAGUCGAGCAGGGACGAAAGUCGGUCUUAGUGAUCUGACGGUGCUGAGUGGAAAGGCCGUCACUCAACGGAUAAAAGUUACUCUAAGGAUAACAGGCUGAUCUCCCCCAAGAGUUCACAUCGACGGGGAGGUUUGGCACCUCGAUGUCGGCUCAUCGCAUCCUGGGGCGGUAGUACGUCCCAAGGGUUGGGCUGUUCGCCCAUGAAAGCGGUACGCGAGCUGGGUUCAGAACGUCGUGAGACAGUUCGGUCCAUAUCCGGUGUAGGCGUUAGAAUAUUGAGAGGAGCCUUCUUUAGUACGAGAGGACCGAGAAGGACAUACCUCUGGUGUACCAGUUAUCGUGCCAACGGUAAACGCUGGGUAGCUAUGUGUGGAGUGGAUAACCGCUGAAAGCAUCUAAGUGGGAAGCCCACCUCGAGAUAAGUAUUCUCAU